CUGGGUAACCUACCCAUCAGAGGGGGAGUAACACUUGGAAACAGGUGCUAAUACCGCAUAACAGUUUAUGCCGCAUGGCAUAAGAGUGAAAGGCGCUUUCGGGUGUCGCUGAUGGAUGGACCCGCGGUGCAUUAGCUAGUUGGUGGGGUAACGGCUCACCUAGGCGACGAUCCCUAGCUGGUCUGAGAGGAUGACCAGCCACACUGGAACUGAGACACGGUCCAG
rnacentral:rRNA from 1 species